rnacentral:rRNA from 1 species
UACAGAGGUCCCAAGCGUUGUUCGGAUUUACUGGGCGUAAAGGGUGCGUAGGUGGCGAGGUAAGUUUGAUGUGAAAUCUCCGAGCUCAACUCGGAAACGGCAUUGAAUACUAUCCCGCUUGAGGGUCGGAGGGGAGACUGGAAUUCUCGGUGUAGCAGUGAAAUGCGUAGAUAUCGAGAGGAACACCAGUGGCGAAGGCGAGUCUCUGGACGACUCCUGACACUGAGGCACGAAGGCCAGGGGAGCAAACGGG